CACGUAGGGGGCGAGCGUUGUCCGGAUUUAUUGGGCGUAAAGAGCUCGUAGGCGGUUCGGCAAGUCGGGUGUGAAAUUUCGAGGCUCAACCUCGAAACGCCACUCGAUACUGCUGUGACUGGAGUCCGGUAGAGGAGUGCGGAAUUCCCGGUGUAGCGGUGAAAUGCGCAGAGAUCGGGAGGAACACCCGUAGCGAAGGCGGCACUCUGGGCCGGUACUGACGCUGAGGAGCGAAAGCGUGGGGAGCAAACAGG
rnacentral:rRNA from 1 species